GCUCCUGUAGUCUAGUGGCCAAGGAUUCUGCCCUUUCACGGCAGCGACCCGGGUUCAAAUCCCGGCGGGAGCG
rnacentral:tRNA from 1 species